AAAUUCUUAACGGCCGCGGCACUAAAACCGUGCAAAGGUAGCACAAUCACUUGUCCCUUAAAUGAGGACCCGUAUGAAAGGCAACAUGAGAGAAGACCUGUCUCCUAAGGCCAGCCAAUGAAAUUGAACUGCCAGUACAAAAGCUGGUAUUUACAAGCAAGACAAAAAGACCCUAUGGAACUUUAACAAAUUAUUUAUAUAACAUAAAUUAUAGUUUCAGUUGGGACAACUUUAGAGAAAAUUAACCUCUUAAUAAUACACAGACCAACAAGUCUAACCUCCGACCCAGUCACACUGAUUAACGAAACAAGCUACCCUAGGGAUAACAGCGCCACCUUCUCAAAGAGUCCAUAUCAACAAGAAGAUCUACGACCUCGAUGUUGGAUCAGGGUACCCUGACGGUGCAGCAGCUGCUAACGGUUCGUUUGUUCAACGAUUAAUACCC
rnacentral:rRNA from 1 species